AAAGAACCAUUUAUGAGGAAUAUU
rnacentral:snRNA from 1 species